UUGUCAAAUGUUGCAAAAGAAAGGAUUUUGCACGUUUGUUCAACGUUGCAAAAUCCUUUCUUUUGCAACGUUUGUCAA
rnacentral:miRNA from 1 species